AUGCAGAGGCAACAACUCCAAAGAAUCAAUACGGAUCACCGUCAUGAGUGUGCAGUUUGGUUACUAGGCAAAGGACUAGAACUCACAUGUGGUUGGUUGACCAUGCUGGAAGUGAGCGCUUGGCCAAAACUGAAGUGGAAGGAAAGAGGUCUAAGGAGGCAAAAGUUCAUCGACAAGUCACUGUCUGCACUUGGUGAUGUUAUUGCUUCCCUUGCCUCCGAAACGCCGACGUCCCAUAUAGGUUGCACAUUAGCAUCUUCAGAAAUCAACAUAUGUUCAAUGACUUUGCUGAAGUAUCAGGGCAACCAUAUAAAGGAGGUUGGCGACAAUGAGGCACCGAGGAAGAAGUGCACAUCUGUGGUUUUCCCUAACUCGGGGAGAUCAGGCUCGCGAGAAUAA
rnacentral:rRNA from 1 species